CUGUUCCAGCCCCCGGUGGCUUCCAGUCCUUCUCAAGCUCUGCGAGAAAGCCAGACCCGAGAAAGCCAGACCUUGGUUUCUUCCGGCUGUAGUGAGGGGACCAGCAUGGCCCUCAGGCAGGAGCAGCCUGGUAGCAAGGCCUCUUAAGGACAAACGGGACCUUCACUGCCAGUAUCUUCCCAGAGGUGGAUGGGGCAGGAAAGGUCAGCAGAGCCUUCCAUCGCCAAAGCUGUGGGAAAGCUGCUUCCAUGGCUCCUUCACAGGCCAGGCUCUCUUCGCUCUUCUUACUUGUGCCCCACUUCACACAGAAUAGGAUCGGAAGCGGUCCGAGAAAUACACGCGCUGUAUUAGGACAGACACUGAAUAAGAAAACACCGGGACGAGGAAAAAGGAAGCUAAGCCAAGGGUUCCCUGCCAGGGAAGUUAUCGGAUCCCAGGUACCCAAGGAAAGGAUGGCCGGGCUGACCAGGAAGCAGCACAAGGCAUAUUCUCAGACUUGAAGUAGCUGCCUGCUGAUAAAGGAGAUUAAGGUA
rnacentral:lncRNA from 1 species